AAUGCCCCUGAACUUUGGUAUCUCUACAAUUUAGCCAGGGUUGCCAGGUUAGCUCGGGUUGGAGGCCGUCAGAGAUAUUAUCACAUUGUCAAGUCUACGCUAUCGGCGUAAGUAAAUCUUAGUGUUUCGAGUCUAUGGCAUGUAUAGGGUUGUAAAGUUGAGUAAGUAAAUGAUACAAGACUAAGAUAUUGGUAAAUAUUUAAUAA